ensembl:lncRNA
AUGGUGAGCUCACAGAAAGCACCAGAUGGAAACUCUAAAAUGCAAUUUGCAGCCUUGAGACCCUUGAGAUCCUUAAGAGAGCUAUAUUGGCCGGAGAAGCAAGAAACCAAAGGAAGCAACUUGAAAGAUGCAAAAAUGGCAGGCAGUGCUGGGUGCUCCCAGCUGCCUUCCCUGGGCAGGGCCAGGCCACGGAGUGAGAGAAUCCAUUCCCACCAGGCACCUCCCAGCCUGGCAAAUGAUUACUCUCUGAAUGAUUCUGGCUUCACCCAGCUGCUUGGAAAGGAGCUUGCAGGAAGAGCCAGGUCGGUGGAGACAGGCACCGUCUGGACAGCUCAACCCUUUCAAAAAUGGUUCUCUCUGUUCUCAUGAGAUUAGCAUUUCUAAUAGGAUCAGAAAUUCUGCUACUUCAUUGAUCAUUAAUCCUGAGGUGUACGAAUAAUCCCUUCUGAUUUCUGCAGAACCAAGCAAAUGCUCUUUGAGGACAUACAUUUAUUUAUUAUUUUGCUGUUAUUUUGGGGAAAGGUCUAAUUUUAUCCUACCAGAAAUUGUCUGGGCAGCUCUUGCUGGAUGAUGAAGGUUUGUUGAAUCCAGGAUCUCUGCAAAGUAGCCCCUAAAAAGGAUCGUUGGAAGCAAGAUGGGAACCGUCUGACAGCAGGAUGCCUUGUUGGGAAAGAUGCCAGUACAGUUUUGAUAGAAUUAUGGGAGCAAAUAAAUAACACACAAAGCACCUGAGAAGGCUUAGAGUGGUAGGGGAAAGGAUGCAAAGAAAGAAAAAAGCUUAAUCAAUUAAUUAAAAUAAAAGGCAAGUGGCCAGGCAGGGUGAACUAGAAAAGAACACUUAAUACAGAGACAAUCUGAAGGUGGAAAGGCUGGGGAAAGUUCUGAUCUGAAACCCCAAUAGGAGACGGAGAAGGAAAGCACUCCCAACACAUAGGCCAGUUAUAUUUCUGAUAGCAGCAUCUUCACAGUGAACGUGUUUCUGUUAUGUUAAGUGUAUCAAGUGUGUCUUGUUAUCCAGCCUUUCUAGUAUUGAACUGUUUCCCUAUGGUUGGAAUAUAGUUUGUUUCCAGAUCUUUUUAUUAGAAAGAACAUUGUAGUAUGGCCAUAAUAUGUUUUAAGAUUCUUCAAAUGUUAUGGUUUUAUUGCCUCAAGUUAUUUCUAUUUAAAUAUCAGACAUUUGUUUAGUGCCUAAUCUGUUCAGCUGUACCCAGAGUACUACAGUGAAGACAGAAUGUAGUGGAGACAGACGCUUAUGUAAGGUAUUUUAGUUCACCUUGAGAAGUAUCAUAAUAGAAGUAAGUGCCAAGUUCUAUGAUCUAAUGUGUAAAAUUCAUUUGCACUGUACAUGGCAUAGUAAAUGCUCAAUACCAAAAUGACAAUGAUGAUAAUGAUUGUAGCCAUCCCAUUUCUGAUGGAAUCAUUUAAAUGCUGCUUCUCAUGAUUCACAUUUAUAGAAAAAAAAAAUCCAGAAAGCCCACAAGAAUGUUCCUUGAUCUACAAAAAUCGAUGAUAUAAAUUCAAAAAAAAUUGAAAUCAUCUCAAGCAUCUUUUCUGAUCACAGUGCGGUAAGAUUAGAUAUCAACUACAGUAAAAAAACUAUUAAAAAUACAAACAUAUGGAGGUUAAAUAACACACUUCUGAAUAACAAACAAAUCACAGAAGAAAUCAAAAAAGAAAUNNNNNNNNNNNNNNNNNNNNNNNNNNNNNNNNNNNNNNNNNNNNNNNNNNNNNNNNNNNNNNNNNNNNNNNNNNNNNNNNNNNNNNNNNNNNNNNNNNNGGAGGCUAAAAAACACACUUCUGAAUAACCAACAAAUCACAGAAGAAAUCAAAAUAAGCAUAGAAACGAAUGAAAAUGAAAACACAACAACCCAAAACCUAUCAGAUUCAAUAAAAGCAGUGCUAAGGGGAAGGUUCAUAGCAAUACAAGCCUACCACAAGAAACAGGAGAAAAAUCAAAUAAAUAACUUCAUUCUACACCUAAAGCAACUAGAAAAAGAAGAAAUGAAGCACCCCAGGGUUA